rnacentral:rRNA from 1 species
AACGAACGCUGGCGGCAUGCCUAACACAUGCAAGUCGAACGACACCUUCGGGACUAGUGGCGCACGGGUGCGUAACGCGGGGGAACCUGCCCUUAGGUUCGGAAUAACUCCCCGAAAGGGGUGCUAAUACCGGAUAAUGUCUUCGGACCAAAGAUUUAUCGUCUUUGGAUGGGCCCGCGUUGGUUUAGCUGGUUGGUAGGGUAAAAGCCUACCAAGGCGAGGAUCGUUAGCUGGUCUGAGAGGAUGAUCAGCCACACUGGGGCUGAGACACGGCCCGGACUCCUGCGGGAGGGAGCAAUGGGUGAUAUUGGACAAUGGGCGAAGGCCUGAACCAGCAAGGCCGCGUGAGUGAUGAAGGCCUUAGAGUAGUAAAGCUCUUUUACCCGGGAUGAUAAUGACGGUACCGGGAGAAUAAGCUCCGGCUAACUCCGUG